CUCCCCAGUGCCUGCCUGCCUGUCACUGUUCCAGCUGGAAUGGAGCUGUUUCCUUUGCAGUGCCUGCUAUGGCGCUGUGUCCUGGUUCUGUCAGCGCUCCGUGCCGUCCUGCAGGCUGUUGUGCAGAGCGCAGUGCUGCGGAGCUGUGCUUCCCGGCCCUGUGCUCUCCAGCACUCAGGCAGGACUUGCGCCACCCCCAGAAAUCUCCUGUUCCCAGGAGCCUCCGCUGCUCCCUUGCACGCGCAUCUGUGUGCACAGAAGUGUGCAGAACCAUACACCCACGUGCAAAGACUUCCCCGCACACACACCUGUGCAUUCACACACAGGUGCAAGCGCAUCCUUGCACAGCUGGGUGUGCGCACUCCAUUCGUGUGCACGCAAGUGUGUGCAAAACCCAAAAGCCUUGUGCAAAGACCUUGAUGCACGCAUUCGUGUUCAUGCAUACACACACAUGCGUGCACACCAUCCUUCUGCACACCCACGUGCACAAACACACGAGCGCAGCUCCAGCCUUGCACAUAGCCAUCUGCACGCACACACGUGCAAAACUUUCACCCGCAGAAACGUGCACACGCCCACGUGCAGUGCACACUCUGAUGCUCAGCACCAUCUCUGCACACCCCCCCGUAUGCACACAUACCUGCACUCACAGCUCGAGGACAAAAUGCCGCUCACGUGGCACAGCCAACACGCAGGCAGUUGGUAAUGUCAGGAGGAAAGGUGCCCCGUUACGCUCAUUCAUUCUCCUGUCUUUAAUGAAGGCAUUGGGGCACAGCUGGAGCCCCAUCCUGAGAUGUGGAUUGCUGCGGGUUCCUCAUCAGUGGGCUAUGGGGGUCCUGGGAUGGUGAUGGGGGUCCUGUCAGGGACUGUGGGAGUCGGAGAACACAGGAGGGGUCUGAGGCAUAAAGGGAGGUCUGAGCCUCCCUCAAAUCGGAGGGAUCCUUGAAGAACCGUGGGGGACAUGGGGUGCUGCUGGGGACUGUGGGGCUCUGCGAGCUCCCAGGUUGGCGGUGGGGGAGGUGUACCGGGUCAGAGAAAGUACUUGAGGAGCUAUGUGGGUCUGUGGGGGAGAUUGUGGGGGAUAUAGAAUGGAUAUGACAACACAGCCUGCAGGAGCAGAAUGCUGUUCAGGAGAAGACAAGAUGUGGGCUGCAAGAGGGACGCGGGAGUAUGGGGUGCUAUGGGAGGAUGUGGGGAGCAGUUUGAGGUAAAAAAAAAAAAGGGGGGGAAGGGGGCAGCGGUGUAGGAGGGGUUUCAUUUCUUCCUGAGAGGGGACUGGGGGUCCAUGCAGCCCAAAGGUGGGGCCCUGAGCCGUAACCCCACACGAGCCAUAAGCCAAGAUGAUCUCAUCACCCUGUAUGUGCGUGACCCCAUGGCUAUACGUGACC
ensembl:lncRNA